rnacentral:lncRNA from 1 species
CUUCUUUUCUUUUCCAAGUGCUUAUCAGAGUUAUAUUUACUUUCAAUAUUUGGCAAAUUGUUCGAUUAAUUAAAACCAAAAUAAAUAUUGCCAAAAAGAACCCAAAGUAAGAAAGAAGGCUUUUUAACGACUCUCAAAAGGAAAAACAAUAACAACAUCCUCUUCAGAGAAAAGGUAACUUUAUUAGCCUUCAGGAAAUGAACAAAAGAGGCAGAAAAUAAAUUUAAGAAGAUUCUGGCUCCAGGCAAGUCCCUCACUCUCCACUGAGAAAGAAACAGAUCAAGCUCAUCCAAAUCAGACAGCCUACAGGAAAGGAAGAUGCCUGCCUGAGGACGAGUGCCAUUUACUUAAGUAUUCCCUUUGGUUAUUUUCAUUAACUGGCUUCCAAAUCAAUGUGGUUGCUGAGCAAUGGCCAUGGAAUAAUAGCCUGGAAAUAGCAGAAGAGAAUGAUGACCCCACCUCUUUUACGUCCUGUGAAAUUGAAAAGUCCUCUUUUCAACCAUUUAAAAAUGGAAAAACCGGGAGACCGACUCAAGAAGGCGUGGUGAGAACAACCCAGGAUUGAAGCUCUCGGUGAACGCGCAGAGGAUCCUGAAUCCCAGCAAAACAGCUGAUGUCUGUAGUUUGAAGACCCCCACAGAGAAACAAUCAGUAUGAGAAUCCAGUUUCUUCACCUCCCUGUUCCAUGACUUUACCCUACACUCUUCGACCAACCAUCUCCUUGUUUGGCAGCCCUGCAAUUAAACCUCUUUCUCUGCUGCAACAUGGUAUCUUGGUGUAUUGACUUGUAGCAGACCUAUUUCGGUUAUAACUCUACCCUACAAGGUAGAUAUGAAAAUUCCCACUUUAUAGAUGGGGAAACGAAUUGAAUGGUAC